AAAACAACACUGCUCCGACUGCAGUGCUGCAGUCGCACCGAAAUUUCGCUCGUCGAAUACACGCCCGUGGCUUUUGUGUCCUGCUGACGAUCUGUGAUUGAUUAAACCACGAGAUACCUUGGAGUUUUAAUUGGAAGAAAAUAAUAAUAAUUUCGUGAUAGAAAAAAGUAUGGAAUAUAGUUUUUUGUUAUCGAAGAAGAGGAGAAUGAAGAUCGCAAGGCUCCGGCGCUGAUAUUCUACAUAACCUUGACCUUGGCGACCGCCGGCUUGGAUGUCACACCAAUUUUCAAGACUGUGCAAUGCUAUUCAACAUGCCUGCAAUGUUACACAAUCAACGGCACUUACAUUGAGCAUAAUAACAGUCUAAAUUAUAGACAUAUGAUUCAGCAGCACUGCACGCCUCAUACAUUCAGAGCACGAACAACACCGGAACCAAAGUUCUUUAUCUUUUCCAAAUUCCCUUUGGGUCUGAAUUUCUUUCGGAUCGAGCGAGAGAAUACCUCGGCAAGGCUUUUGGAAAAUAUUAUUAGCGAAAAACCACGGAGCCCUUCGUUUCUUUGAAACAGAAACUCGGGCUUACAAUAGUAAAACGCCUAAUGCACAAUGAAAGGCACAGGCAAUAGAAACACGGAAUAACACAGUGCUGGGUAAGUUGUGACCAUCUCAGUAUUUGGAACAAAGAAGACCGAUUGUCUUACUGCAACAUUUUCUAAAACUGUGAAAGUUGCAAAACCGCUUGCUCGUUUUAUAAAUUACGAGAAGAAGAGGAAUACUAAACGACCAAAUUACCAACUCCUAAAGAAAACAAGACUAUCCACAUAAAUGACUAUAACAUUAUCGUGUUGAUGCAAAAAAAUUGGCAAGGGAUAUUGGAAGUAAAAAGUUAUCGCUUCAGUAAACAACAACUUACAAUAAAAGCGACUGGAUCAUUGUCGUUACAAAAGAUAGCGUCGUCAAACACUACAGCUGAGAAAAGUAGAGGCCAAAACUGCAGAUUCUCAAAGCCGGUGGUCCUGGAUCCUCUCUAUCAGAUCUAUAUCACAUGGCAGGAUAUCACAUGGCAAACUCAGUUAAAGAAUCAACGCGAAAGAAUUAUUUCAAAUAUCUUUAAGAGUAUUUCUCAAGAUCAGUACCAGUCCAAGAGGGAGACGAUUAUUUAUGAAUACCAGCGUGAACCAUUAUUUGUCAUUACUUGGCAGCAGGAGACGGGAGAUGGAAGAAGAAUAAGGAAAAUGCAGCAAUACAAGAAGACAACCAAAAGAAGAUAAGAAGAUGAACGAAAACAAGAAGAUAAACAAAAGAAAACAAGACGCAAAAUGUAAUAAUUCAGCCGGGAAAGAGUAUAUUAUAUUUUAUAUACGAGUGUGUACAUGACUAAACAUGUAUUAUGUCUAUAAAUAGAAUACAUAAUACACUAUUAUAUUUAUAAUAUAAUACAUAAUGCACUCGGCGCGCGAAAGUUUAUGUUAGUAAAAAAGGAAACGUGAAAAAAGGAAACAGAGAAAGAAGGAAAACUGUUGCUCUUCAAGUAAAUAUAUUUAAAGGAAAAUUACGUAUAUUCCGAAAAAGGUUUUUAGAUAGCUUUUUCAGAUCCUGAAAAAACCAUCAGUAGUUAUUUCUAAAUACUAAUAUACUAAAUAGUAUAUUAAAAUUACUAUAUUUAAAUAUAUAUAUGACAAUUUUUAUAACAAUGUAGAUAUUCCUUUAUUAACUAUUGCAUUUUUGAAUAUUUUAAUUUAUUACUUUUUUUUAAAAAACGUUCUUUUCUUUCCACUUUUUUUAAAUGUAGAAUCAAUUAAUAAAGCUACUUGUUGUAACUAUACAAUUAAUCGCAAAAAAUAACUUGCUUUAUUAACUGUUUCUAAUAUCAUGCGGUAAAUAACAUAGCGAUAACGAAAACAACUUUUGAGGCAUUGAUAUUAAUUAGAAAAUUUUUAUAAACUAUUACAAGAUAUUAAAAAUGCUUCACGCAAAUAAAAUGAUUGAGUGUAAACACUAAAAAAAGGAAAUGUUCUCUUACAAACAAAAAUGAUAUAAUAUUAAAGAGUCUGCGUAUAGGAUUAAUACGCACAGAUUUAAAUAAAAGAGAGAAUUUAGGAUUUCUUAGUGCUUUACAAAAUAAAUCUAGACAGGAUAAAUUGUAUACAGGUUAUCACAUUCAACACCAGAGACGUCAUUUUUCUAAUUACUUGAUCAAACUUAUAUAUUAAUUAGAUUUGUCAGUACUUUGCUUGCUUAGAAAGUUUACGUAUGAACAUAAAUAUCCUUCGUUUUCAUUAACGUUUGAAGAUUCUGAAAUUGAUAAAUUUAAUAAUAUUUUUAUUCGUCAUAAAAAGAAGUUAAUUCGUAUACGAAUUGAAUAUGUAAACAAAUAAUAUACAGAAAAUAAUAUUAACUAUGACAAAUUAUUUUAUAAAACAAGAUACAACUCUUUAAUUAAUAGUUAUUUCAAUACUUUUGCUAAACGUAUGUUUAAAACAAAUAAUUUAAAAAGAAUGUUGAAUAUCUUAUUAUCUAUACUAAUUUAAAUUUGAAUCUUAAAAGGAAACAUUUAAAAUAGAACGAUUUAAAACUUAUUAUCCUUUUAAAUUUGAUAACAUACAAACUAAAGAAUGUGAUAUUUUAAAAAAUUUUUUAUUUACAAGUGAUGAUACACAAGAGGAUGGUUUUUAUUUGUUUUCACUAGAUAAAACAACAAGAAAAAAGCUUUUAAAACAGUUGGAAUUUUUGUCUUUUACGAAGAAAGUAGUGCAAAAAAGAAAAUUUACACAAAAAUUUGAAAAAAGCAUAAAAGAAGCAUUUUUAAACAACUUAGUAUUUGCAGUUAAUUAGCCCAACAGAAAAAAAUAAGCAGCAUUGUAAAAUUGAAAUUUAAAAAAUGGUAAAAAUCAAGACGAUUAUAUAGCAUUACAAGAAAGAAUAUUAUUUGAUUUGAAACUUUCAGACAAGAAUAAAAAAAUGUGUGAUUAAUGUAUCCGGAAUCAGAUAUCAGUUCAAUUUAUUAUUGAACUUUCUUCAUAUUUGUGCAUAAAAAUAUAUUUUCCAUAAAUUUUGAAAAAAUAAUAACAGCAUCUAUCAUCAAAAUAGAAUUUCUUAUUUAAAUGUUCAUAACGCUGAUGCUAUUAUAAACAGUAAUCAGUUUUUUUCCUUUAGGCAGAAAGAAAAUAUGUUUUGUAUUAACAAAUAUUUUACACUAUUUGUUGAAAAACUUAUUGUUAGUGAGAAUAUUUGAUUCUCUACACUAAUGCUAAUUUAAAUCUUACAAAAGAAAAGAGGAUAAAAGAAAAGCUAUCUAAUAAUUCUUAUCUUUUAAAAUUUGAUAGUUUAAAUAUUUGCGAGAAAAAAUAUAAAGUUUUAAGAUACAGUUUGUCUAUAAAUGAAAAUGAUCUUUAACGAUUUUCGAAAAAAGUAACACGAGAAAAGAUCAUAAAUUUGUUACCGCUGCCACCUUCCUUGCAAAAAGAGAAGAAAGAGAAAAGACUUUUUAAUGAGAGCGAAAGAGUAAAAGAGAAAAGUUUUUAGUUAAUAUUUAAGUUGAUAUUUGCAGUUAAUCAGCCAGAUAAGAAAAAAUUAAAUACUCUUUAUAGUAAUAAUCAGUUACAUAAUUACCCAUACAGCUAUGAAUUACAUGAAAUACUGUUACGCUGGAUAGAGUUCCAUGAAUUUGAUUCUCUUACACAAGAAAUAAUGAAAAAACUUCUUCAGAAAAUAAAAAAUAAUAAAUCCAGUUACCAAACAAGUCAAAGUAAACACAUUAAUAAUGAAAUUAAAUAUGUUAGAAGUGUUAUUGGCAGUGCGGAAACAUCUCAAUUUCUUAGACUUUUUAAUUAAAGGGGAAGGACUAAAAUAUCUAACAAUUCUGAAAAGGAAAAGAAUAAAUUUAAUUAAUGUGUCCAGUAUUUUAAGUAGAUCAAGUGCUACAGAUUCUAAAGCAUUUAAAGACUUAUAUGCUCUAUGGUCUGAUAAAGAAAGAAAUAAAACAAAAUAUUUAAAAUCUCUAGAAGAAGAGGAAAUAAAUCUAGCAAACGUGUCUGGUAUUUUACAUACAGCAGGCGCUAAAGCUCCUAAAACAUUCAAAGACUUGCAGGUAUAUGAUUUGUGGUUUGAUUACGAAGAACACAAAAUACAAUAUUUGAAAUCUCUACAGGAAGUGAGAAUAAAUUUGGGAAAUGUGUCUGGUAUUUUACAUAUAGCACGCGUUAAAGUUCUUCAAAGACUUAUAUGAUCUGUGGUUUAAGGAAGAAAAACAUAAAAUGAAAUAUUUAAAAUUUCUAGAGAGAGAGAGGAAGAGAGAGAAACAGGAAAUAAAUCUAGGAAAUGUGUCUGGUAUUUUACAGCAGGCGCUAAAGCUCCUCGAGCAUUGAGGAGCUUUAACGCCUGAUCCAUUUAAAAUACUGGAGACAUUAGUUAGAUUUAUUUUUUUUUCCUCUAGAAAUUUUAAAUAUUUUUUUUUUUUUUUUUAUGUCCUUCUCAUCAAACCACAGAUCAUAUAAGUCUUUGAAUGUUUUAGGAACUUUAACGCCUAAUCUAUUCAAAAUACUGGACACAUUAGUUAAAUUUAUUCUUUCUUCCUUUAGGAUUUUUAAAUAUUUUGUUUUUUAACCUUCUUCAUCAAACCACAGUUCAUACAAAUCUUUGAAUGCUUUAAAAGCUUUAGCGCCUGAUCCACUUAAAAUACUGGACACGUUAAUUAGAUUUAUUAAUAAAUUUAAUUAACUUCUCCAGUAUUUUAAGUGGAUUAGGCACUAAAGCUUCUAAAGCAUUCAAAGACUUGUAUGAAUUGUGGUUUGAUGAAGAAGGAUACAAAACAAAAUAUUUAAAAUCUCUAGAGGAAGUUGGAAUAAAUCUAAGAAAUGUGUUUGGAAAUUUACAUACAGCACGCGAUAAAGCUUUUAAAGCCUUCAAAGACUUAUAUGAUCUAUGGUUUGAUGAAGAAGAACAUAAAACAAAAUAUUUAAAAAUCUCUAGAGGAAGAGGAAAUAAAUCUAACUAAUGUGUCCAGUAUUUUAAAUGGAUCAGGCGUUAAAGCUCCUCAAUGAAGAAAUAUUACAUAUUAGUGUAAUAUUACAUAUUAGUGUAAAAUAUCACAGUAAUAUUACUGAUAUAUUACAUGUUGAUAAAUAGCAUUGAAAUAUUACAAUAAUAUCGUUGCAAUAUAUUGUUGCAAUAUUUCAUCUUAAAGAACAAAGUAAUGUCAAAUGACGUUUCAAUUAUGUCUUAUUGAUGUUAACAGUGUCAUUAGGACGUUAUUAAUAUGUUGACUGCCAACUACAAAAUAUCUCGUAGGUUGUUUACUUGCCCAGGACGCCUACUACGAGUUACCUCGUUGCUUCAUUACUUACCAUAUAACAUGAUUAAAUCAAAUUGGCUUUUUAGACCGGAAUCGUGGAAAGUUUCGUGGCAGUCAACGUGUUCAAGUAUCACAAAGUUAUGGAUAUACACGCGCGCGCGCGCGCGCACACACACGCGCACACACACACACACACACACACACACACACACACACACACACACACACACAGAGAGAGGGUCUGGACAGUUAAGGAAUAUGUUUAACAUUAACAUUACUUUAAUAUAAAUGUAUUAUUAAGACUUGUAAUUUAUAGUUAUAUCUAUUAUUCAUUUAUAUUUACACAUAAUUCUUGAUAUAAUACAAUUGUAUGUAAUAUUUGCAAAACAAUAAAUUUAUGUUUGUACGGAAUUUUAAACUUUUGCGUAUAUGUUUCGGCAGAGCCAUGAUUCAAUCCGUUUGUUUUCUGUUCCUGAACUCCCUGAAUUAGUGUGCACUUAAAGUGAAAUAGAUAUAUAUUUGAAAGUUAGUGAAAACAAGAAGGAACGUUCCAGUGCAGUCUAGUGUAGGAAUAGAAAACCAGCCUUGUAUAUCUAUUUUGUUUGUCUAUGGCUAUUCCAAAACAAAUUCAUAUCAGGCAUGGAGGACCUGGAGAGAGCAUUAGGCAUGGAGGUAUAUUCCGUAAGGUUUUCUAAAGAUCCAGAAAGACGGAAGAAGUGGGUACAAUUUGUUAAUCAUCCAGAUUGGGAACCAACGAAUUAUAGUUUGUUAUGUUUUUCUCACUUUACAAGUGAUGAUUUUGAAACGAAUACAGGUGUGAGAAGAUGGUUAAAAUCUGAUGCAAAUCUUUCUGUGCACAUUUAUAACACCAAUAAUGUUUGUGAAAGCAGUUCUUUAUUGAUGCAAAAGUUAAUAAAUAUUUUUCACAUUUUGCAUAUACGAAAUUUUGAUACUGAGAUCUGUGAUUCUUUUAAAAAUAAUAAACUAUUGAAUAUAACUGUUCCUGGAACUAGCAACAAAAGUAUUGCCUGUGGAGAAAACUCCUUUUAUCCUUCAGCAAGCGACACACCUCGAAAAAUCAGCCUUAAAAGAAAAAUAAUAGAAUUGGAAAACAUGAACCAAUUGCGGCUAAAAAAAAUUCGCAAAUUGCAGCAUUUAAAUUAGCGCAAGAAAAAAAAACUAAAAAAUUUACAAGAUCUCAUCAAAACAUUAGAGAAUCGGAACCUACUAAAUGAGAAGGAUGAAGCCACAAUCAUGCAGAAUUUCAGUAACAACGCAGAAUUAUUUAGGAGAUUAUUGUUCAAAAAUAAGGGUAAAUCGAUACCAAGGAAAUAUUCUCAAAACUUAUGUAGUUUUGCACUAACGUUAAAUUUCUUUUCUCCAAAAGCUUAUAAUUAUGUUCGGGAUUGAUUUCUAUGUUCAUUACCACAUCCAAACACUUUAAAUAAAUGGUAUUCGACAAUUGAUAGUUCUCCGGGUUUUUGUUCAGAAGCAUUGCAUAUGUUAAGACUAAAAGUAAAAAAAUUAAUCAAACCUAUUAUAUGUUCUUUGGUUUUUGACGAGAUGGCCAUUCGCGAACAUUUAGAGUGGGAUGGUAAAAAGUAUUACGGUUUGGUAGAUUUUGGUGGUGUUGUUCAUGACACGCAAAUGGGAAAUGCAACUCAAGCACUUGCUUUCAUGUUAGUAUGUGUCAAUGAGGCGUGAAAAGUGCCUCGGAUACUUUCUCAUUAAUUCAUUGACAAGUACACAAAAAAUUGAAAUACUAAAACAAUGUGUGCAUGCUGUAUUCGAUUGUGGCAUUAUAAUAAGUAACAUAACGUUUGAUGGCGCAGCAGUUAAUUUCAGCGUACUAAGGCAGUUAAAUUGCAAUAUGGAUAUCAAAACAUUAAAUACCGAAGUCAAUAUUUGUACCAGCGAAUUUGUAUUUCCGGAUCCGUCACACAUGAUAAAGUUUUGGCGAAAUGCUAAGUUUGUUGGACAUAGACGGUAAUGAAAUUAAUUUCAAAUAUCUUGUGGAAUUAAAUAAAUUACAAGAGAAUGAGGGGCUUUAUUUAGCAAAUAGGCUAAGAAAUAGGCUAAGAAAAAAACACAUUUUAUUUUGCAAACAAAAAAUGAAAACAAAACUGGCAACUCAACUGUUAAGUCGAUCUGUUGUAGAUUCUUUAUUAUUUUGCAAAAAUGUACUAAAACUUAAAGCUUUCGCAGAUUGCGUUGCGACAGUAAAAUUCAUCAUUAUGAUGAAUGAUGCGUUCGACAUAUUAAAUUCGCGUAAAAUCACUGCUACGGGCUACAAGAAGGCAAUGUGCAAAGACAACAUUUGUACAAUUAAACAGUUUUAUUCGGACUUUUGUAUAUAUAUAUAUAUAUUUUUUUUUUUUCUUUUUUUUUUCGGGCUGAAGGAUAAGGACGGCGGAUUAAUUAUUGCAAGUCGAUGAAAGACAGGUCCACUCGGACUUGUCAUGGCCUUGAAAAGUGCCAUUUGUUUAUACGAUAUUUAUAUUGGUUGUGACACAUCUAUUUUAGAAUAUAUUCCACUUCAUAAAUUUGGACAAGACCAUUUGGAACUUUUUUUUGAUAAUUUGAGAGAUCAUGAUGGACACAAUGACAGUCCGACUGCACGACAGUUUACUGCAGUGUAUAAAAAAUUAUUAAUUUACUCUAAAAUAAAAAACAAUAGCAUCGGAAAUUGUAUUCCCUUGGAAGAAAUUAAUAUUUUGAAUUGUAAUUCCGGCAAAAAAGUUAGCGCUGUUGAUUUAAACAACGAAAGAAAUAUUAUUUAUAACGAAAUAUCAGAUUGCUCUACAGUUAAUGAGGCCUUUGAAGAUCACGACUAUCUGUUCUCUUGUACAUUGUCUGAAUACGCCCAAAGUAUUGUUGUGUACAUUGCUGGUUUUGUUGCCAAAAAAUUAUUAACAAAAAUUAAAUGUGAGAUAUGUCUAACGCAAUUGCUAGGGGAAAAAGACAAUUUGUUAAAUUCUUUUAUAAAUUUCAAAAAUAAAGGUCGGUUAACAUAUCCUUGCGAUAAUGUAAUAGCAGUCUGCAAAGAAACAGAGAAAAUAAUUCAGCACUAUCGUAUUUUAGAUAAUUUAACAGAUAAUGCAAUUAAGUAUAAAAUUUGCAACAAAACGCUUCAAAAAUUUUUCUUUUCUAAAAUAUUAGAUGAUAUGAACAGACUUCAUUCCAGCGACAAAAAUAUUUUGUAUAAUCAUUGGAUUUUAUUUAAAUUAAAAGCAAUUAUAAAAGAAUAUGCAGGUUUGAGACUGUACUACAUUGCGAAGCAAUUAUCUGCCAAAGAUUCUAUAAGAAAAUUAAAAAAAAAUUGUUUUGUUUAAAGGGCAAUAAUAUUGCACUGUUAUAUGAUAUGUUUUUAUUUAAAGGGCAAUGUAUUACAUUGU